CAUUCACACAUAACACAUCACACAAUUAAAGGAAUAGUUCACCCAAAAAUGAGAAUGUAGAGACCAUCCAAGAUGUAGAUAUGUUUGUUUCUUCAUGAUAACAGAUUUUAGCAAGAUUUUAGAAAUUUAGCAAAAAUUAUUCCAUAAUCCAUAAUAACACUUCCUCCAGUGAAAAAGUGUUCUGGUGUGAAUCAGGAGAGAAAUCUGCACAGAUCAAGUAGCGUUUAAACAGCUCUAAACAAAUAUGUGUCUGGAUUUUGAUGUGAGAGACAACAGGAGAUUUUCACUUUUUCACUGGAGGAAGUGUUAUUAUGGAUUCUGGACUCAUGUUUGAGUUAAAGCGUCUUAAUGCUGGAUUUGUUUCAGCUUUUGUCUUCUCCAGAUGUUAACUGAUGGACUGGAGUGCUGUGGAUUACUUGUGGAUUAUUGUGAUGUUUUUAUCAGCUGUUUGGACUCUCAUUCUGACGGCACCCAUUCACUGCAGAGCAUCCAUUGCUGAGACACUGAUGCAGUGCUACAUUUCUCCAAACCUGAUGAAGAAACAACAUCCUGAUCCUGGAUGGCCUGAGGAUGUGUUGCAGCUGGCCAUCAGGAUAAAGCUGAAAGAUAUUCAGCCACGUCGAGCAGAGCAUUCGGAGACUGUUAAACACAGAGGUGAAUCUCCCUGCUGAUUAAAAUGGAUGUUUCCAUGCUGAUCCUUCACUGUGAAGAAACUCCUUCAUAUCCCGCCCAUGUCUGGCUAAUGUGUAAAAGUGAUGAAUCGCAGGGGGUCGAAGGGCCGCUUGAUUGUGCUUCACGGGCAGCCGAAACACGCUGAGCUGGACGGACUCCUUCAACACAUUUGUGUGGUGUUGAUGUAACGUUAUUAGAGUCAGUGUGGCAUGGCUAUAACUGCUCAGAGAUCAGAGAUGCUCAGUGAUGUUGACAUCGAUAUUUUCAUUGUAAAUACUUCACGGUGCUUCAAAUACAUCAAAAUACCAGAGUCACACACUGAGCUACAGUCACUGAAAUAUGCACCUUCUGUCCUGACACGUGAAUCUCCAUACGGACAUAAAGUUAACGUACAUUAUAUGUAAAUAUUAGUAUGUAGUAGAACAAAUAUACCAAGUAUAGUAUUGUAAAUAAUAACAGAACUUACAUUUGUGUGUGGAAAAUUCAUUUACUGAAAAGUGGAAUUAAAAAUUGAAAGAAAAUGUCAUUCUCAGAGGGGGAAAAAAAGGUACAAAAGCUGUCACUGGGUUGGUAUCUGUUCAAAAUGUACUAUUUAGAUACUAAUAUUUGCACUUGCGUUACUAAUAUGUAUCUUAAAGGAAUAAAUAUGCACAUUUUAAGGAUAAAUAAGGUACAAAGGUUCAGUGACAGAUUUAGUACCUUUUCUUCUGAGAAUGUAAGUACUUUUACUAGAAUACUCUAAUAUACUUUAGCUCAGUUUGUGUGUCGUUCUGCAGUCCUCUGACGCUGCCAUGCAGAACAUGUGUGAAACACCAUUAUAACUGCGUAUUUAUUACCAUGUGCAUAAAUGCCCUUUAGUCAGUGUGGCUGCUGACCUAUUUCAUUCAUUCAUAUUUCAUUCAAUCUCAUUUGGCUGAUAGAAACCACAGUUUCACACUUGCAAGGCAUGACACAACAUGUUUCCAGUCCUUUUUCUGUCCACAAUGAAUGUAAAAAUGCACAGGACACAUUACUUGGCAAUCACAACAGUGCACAGACACAAACCAGAUAAUUAUCACAUCCCGAGGGCUGUGAUUUAAUUAAAGGGGUCAUAUGAUGCUUUUUAAAAGAUCAUUAUUUUGUGUAUUUGGUGUAAAAGAAUAUGUUGACAUGCUUUAAUGUUCAAAAAACACAUUAUUUUUCAAAUACUGUACAUUAGUGUAGGUCCUCUAUGCCGCGCCUCUCUCAAACGCGUAAUUUUCUUCAAAGUCCUCCUUCUUACUAGCGCAGUCUGCUCUGAUUGGCCAACUGACCCAUUGCAUUGUGAUUGGCCGAACACCACAAGCACUGGUCGGAAAUGUAACGCCCCUUUCCAUAAUCGCGAGCUUCAUCUUUCAAAAUAAAUGUAAAGACAGUUAAUAAUGUCCUUAGUUUUACCAUCAGUUCAAGCUGAAAGAGGAACAGAGUCACGUGACAGACACAGUGAUGAAGCUCGUAUGUGUUUGCAGUACACAAGCCACGGACGGUUAAGACAGCUGACUCCACUGUGUGACCCUGUCUUUCUCUCUCUCACACACACACAAACACAACGCGCAAAACUCCACAUUUGAACAGUCUAUAGCAAAUACUUAAACUAAUAACAAAACAUACUUACAGUUGCUGAUUCAGAAGCGCCAGAUUGUCGUAGCAAAGUCAGAAUGACCUCCACUCCUAGGUUCACGAAACGGUUGUCUAUAAAAUGCGUUGCUGUUCUGUUGUAAGUAAUCUUAAAGAGUCCUAAAUGCAUCUACUUUCAGAAGGCCAAAUAAAGUGCUUUUGCUUUCUCCUAGAUACACACAGCAUCUCCCUGACAUGCUGCUUCAACACUAACUGUGUUACUGAAACCACCCCUUUGUUCUUUGCCUAAACAUUUGAGCGGCAUUACGCAAGUAUUUCCACAUAGUGACAUAGACAUGUGGGGGUGUGUUAGAACGAGCUGUUUCAGGGAGGCCUGGCAGAGUCUUAACUUUGAUAAAGAAUAUCUCUUUGGGUUUGAGACUUUAGUCUUUGCAACUUUACAGAUCUUCUUCAUGUACCAAGAGCUUGUAACACUCCAAAGAGAAAGGAAAUCUUGAAAUCGCAUCAUAUGACCCCUUUAAAUAAAUAUAUGCAUGUGUCUUUCAGCAUGAAGCACAGCACUGUAUUCAUUUACACACGAGCAGCUCGAUUUGCUGUAAAUACGGCUGUAAAUUUUACAUUUAAAAUUUGCUGUAAAUUUACCAUAUUUGUAAUCAGAAGCAUUUAUAGACAGGAGAUUUAGGGUCUUCACCGAAA
ensembl:lncRNA